rnacentral:lncRNA from 1 species
ACAAGCACUGCAAUGCAGCAACCAUUGACCUAACUAUGCUUCCUUCUCCAGGUCAUCUCAAGCAGACCCCUCACUCUGAAGCCCCCGGAUCCAAGCAGGAUGAGCUGCCAACUCAGCUUGCUCUGACUUGACUUGGCUCAUGAUCCGUGGAAGACAUCCCUACCUGACCCGUCGAUCAGCCCGAAACUUCAACAUCUUUUUGGCAGCUCCGUCCCCAGUUUGGCAGCCUCAGAGGACCCGCCGGCCACCCUGAUCCUACCAUGCCUCUGAGAAGUAAGUCCUCUGGUCCAACUCGUAAGGCUGUGGCAGAGAUGCAGAGUGAUUGGUGGCAGAGUCUCUAGCAGUUCUCCCUCCUCCUGGCUCUGGCUCUGGAGAACCAGGAGGGCACUCUCCUUGGGUGGUGGUAGGGGUCGCCUAGGUGCCCUAGUAGGCCUGUGGCUUCCUGGUAUUCGGCCAGAAUGCUACUGGUCAGAGGACUGGAGGCAGAAUAAACAAGGAGGGGAUGAUAUCCUCCCCAUUCAGCACCCCAAGGAGAAAAUGCUGAAAUGGAGAGACAGGCAUACACGGAGCAGGUGUAGCACUCCCAGGUAGUCCGACCUCAGUGAGCUAAGGACGCAGAGUAGCUGGACGGGUGAAGGAGUCUGGGGCUGCAUUCCCAUCUGCACGGCUGAAACCCAUGCCAGCCCGACCUGUAGGGAGACAGUCCUCCUGCCUCCCCAAUUCUCAACCCACAAUACAGGCUCCUGAGCUGAAAAUCAACUUGCUUCUCAGAGAUCCUUCAGAUCCUGUGGGCAUAAGGGUUAAAUGAAGCUCCCGAUUCAUCUGCUGUUAUUGCUGCCGCUGCUGAGAAGCUGAGAUUGAUUGAGCAGUUCUCCCUUCUCUUCGGUCAGCCUGCCCAGCCUUCUUCUGUGUGGACAGGAGCAUAAUGAAUGAAGGUCCUCUGCCCCUGUCCCUCCGACUUGCUCCCCUCAGACAGCACGGGGUUGCUUUCCCUCCCUGUGUGGCAGUCCUACCGAUGAGAAGCAAGUCGACCAGAUGGGCGUGGAUGCUGUGGAACCAGAGCUGGUGGCUAGGAUGGGGCUGCUCAGGCAAUAUUAAAGGAGAGCUUCCUCUCAAGGCUUGCAAGGAAGAGGGCAGCAAAUGGGGCUUGAGAGGGGGUCACUGUGUGUUUAUGGCUGAAAAUCUUCCCAGACACGAGAUGAUACAUUCCAGCUGGGGACUGUCAGAUCUGCUCAGAAGCAAGGAGCUCCUGAGAAUCUGCUGACAAAGAAUUAGCCCUGGCCCAGCUUCCCCAUCCUGAGGACGCCUUGGCUUCCAGCAUUACAGCUCAUUAGGUGGAGAGAGGUUUGCAUGCAAGGCAAGUGGAAAGGGGGUCCCAUCCCUUCCACUUCCUUCUUUCUCCCAGCUAGCAAAUUCCAAGCCGAGACUGUCCAUGCUCCAGAGAGGAUUUCUGCUGCCACAGAGGAGGGGAAGGUGGGGAGAAGGUUGGCUCCUGCUCUGUGCCUCCCCAUCUGGAUCUCAUCAUUAUUUUCAAGGAGGCUUAUCUGCUUCAGCAUCCUGUCCCAAUUAAAAACCAACUCAGUUUAUGUUUCCAGCCAUCUUCAUGCACCUGAUUCCUGAAGCUCCCCCUGCCAUUUCCAGGAGAAAAUACACUUUCCUAGCCACUUCUCAUCAGAGGCCCUCUGUUUUCCUACCUAUUGCUGCCACAUAAAGAAGAGGUCAAAGAGGGUCAGGCCCUGGCAGCACUUCUAGGUAUUUGCAGGUGGGAAGGAACCCCUCCAAACAACACUGCCUUAGCCAGGCAUGGUAGCACAUGUCUGUAGUCCCAGCUACUCAGAGGCAGAGGCAGGAGGAUCACUUGAGCCCAGGAGGUCGAGACUGCAGUGAACUAUGAUCACACCACUGCACCCCAACCUGAGGCACAAGACCCUCGUCACUAAAAAACAACAGAGCAAGGCCCCCAUCUCUAAAAAAAACCAAAAACAAACAAACAAAAAAGGCCGGGGGCGGUGGCUCACACCUGUCACCCCAGCACUUUGGGAGGCAGAGGCG